AUUGAACGCUGGCGGCAGGCCUAACACAUGCAAGUCGAACGAGUGGCGGACGGGUGAGUAAUGUCUGUGAAAAUGCUCGAUGGAGGGGGAUAACAACUGGAAACGGUAGCUAAUACCGCAUACCAUCGGAUGUUCCCAGAUGGGAUUAGCUUGUGGGUGAGGUAACGGCUCACCUAGGCGAGGAUCCCUAGCUGGUCUGAGAGGAUGACCAGCCACACUGGAACUGGGCCACGGUCCAUACUCCUACGGGAGGCAGCAGUGGGGAAUAUUGGACAAUGGGCGCAAGCCUGAUGCAGCCAGGCCGCGUGUAUGAAGAAGGCCUUCGGGUUGUAAAGUACUUUCAGCGGGGAGGCGUUACCCGCAGAAGAAGCACCGGCUAACUCCGUGCCAGCAGCCGCGGUAAUAC
rnacentral:rRNA from 1 species